UACAGAGACUGCAAGCGUUAUUCGGAAUCACUGGGCUUAAAGGGUGCGUAGGCGGCGCGACAAGUUGGGUGUGAAAUCCCUCGGCUCAACCGAGGAACUGCGCCCAAAACUGUCGUGCUCGAGGGAGACAGAGGUGAGCGGAACUUAGGGUGGAGCGGUGAAAUGCGUUGAUAUCCUAAGGAACACCGGUGGCGAAAGCGGCUCACUGGGUCUCUUCUGACGCUGAGGCACGAAAGCUAGGGUAGCGAACGGG
rnacentral:rRNA from 1 species